AACAAUAAAGGCCCCUCCCCUGACAGAUCCUAUAAUAAGCAGUGUCCUCUUCAGUAACUUCCUCUUUCUUUGUAUCCGCGACAACAACCGCAUAACCGUAACUGGAACCGUAACCGGAAACUGGAACUGGACCCGAGAAUUUUGAACAACCG